UAGAGUGGCUCUGUCUGUCCCUUUUUCUCGACUGCUAACACUAAUCCAGAUAGACCAUAGAAUUUUCCUUCAACGUAAAGUUGACGCAACAACGUAAAGUCGGAUGGUAGAAUAGUAGGAAAAGCUUCUGGGGAUCUUAAAUAGUCAAGCACGAAAUCAAAGAAUCUGGGAUUCCUGUCAAUAAAAUAAGUUUCUUUGCAUGGCUUGAUUGGUGAAUUUGGAUUGGUCAUUGCUGCAAGUAAUGAUGAUGGGUCGCUCAAUAGUGUUCUUCUACUUGUUUCAAACUUUCUCCCCCCUACAUUCAGUAUUACAUGGCCGUCUUGUUGCUCUUUGAGUAUGUUCAGUUUAACUUCCAUCUGGUCAGUCGGGUUAUAUCUCUGUGUUUCAUUAGAUUCCUGAACUUCGUAGCUUUCUUCUUCUGGGGCAUUUAUCGAAAGGACAUCUUUGAUGGAAUUUUCAGAUAUCUUUGUAGAUGCGGACGAGUCCGAAUUUGAAGUUAAAGAUGAGGAUGAGGAUGUCGAUGAUACAACUGACUUGGAUUUAGUCAGGUCUCCCAAGUACUAGAUCAAUACGGAGUGCAACUUGUCGACCAAAGACCAUCUCAUUUGGGCUCACCCCUGUGGAUUCAUGUCCUGAGGACCUAUAAGCCAACAUAAGUAAAGGGAUGGCGUCAACCCAUUUUGUAAAGUAGUCUCCUACAACUAGUAGGAUCUUGAGAAGUAGAUGGCAAAGAAGUUUCAUGAUUUCCAGAGCGAGUGACAACUUG